GGUAAGAUGGCCGAGUGGUUAAGGCGGUGGCCUUAAGUGCUUUUUCGCCUUAAGUUACCCACUGACGAGAGUCUCCUGGGUUCGAACCCCAGUCUUACCA
rnacentral:tRNA from 1 species